AACAAAAAAGGGGACGGAGGGAAUUAAGUCGCAAAUGCAUUUGCGACUUAAUUCCCUCCGUCCCCUUUUUCUGU
rnacentral:antisense_RNA from 1 species